UGGCUAUAUCACGUUGAAACACUGGUUCUCGUCCGAUCACCGAAGUUAAGCAACGUUGACACUGGUUAGUAACUAGAUGGGUAACUGCUUGGAAAUACUAGAUACUGUAA